UACGAAGGGAGCUAGCGUUGUUCGGAAUCACUGGGCGUAAAGCGCACGUAGGCGGAUGUGUCAGUCAGGGGUGAAAUCCCGGAGCUCAACUUCGGAACUGCCCUUGAUACAGCACGUCUUGAGUCCGGAAGAGGUGGGUGGAAUUCCUAGUGUAGAGGUGAAAUUCGUAGAUAUUGGGAAGAACACCGAUGGCGAAGGCAGCCAUCUGGACCGACACUGACGCUGAGGCGCGAAAGCGUGGGGAGCAAACAGG
rnacentral:rRNA from 1 species